CUCCUUUGACGUUAGCGGCGGACGGGUGAGUAACACGUGGGUAACCUACCCUAUAAGACUGGGAUAACUUCGGGAAACCGGAGCUAAUACCGGAUAAUAUUUCGAACCGCAUGGUUCGAUAGUGAAAGGUGGUUUUGCUAUCACUUAUAGAUGGACCCGCGCCGUAUUAGCUAGUUGGUAAGGUAACGGCUUACCAAGGCGACGAUACGUAGCCGACCUGAGAGGGUGAUCGGCCACACUGGAACUGAGACACGGUCCAGACUCCUACGGGAGGCAGCAGCC
rnacentral:rRNA from 1 species